rnacentral:pre_miRNA from 1 species
GCGUUGUGAAAGGCAUCGGCCUGAAAGACAUGGGUAGUGAGAUGUUGGCCUGGUAGUUCCUCACCUCUCACUACUUUGUCGUUCAUGUCGUGCACUUUUCC